rnacentral:tRNA from 1 species
GGGGGCCGGUGGCGCAGAGGCAGGCGCACCGGCCUUUAGAACCGGGGCACGCCGGUCCGAAUCCAGCCGCCCCGCCCC